UACAUGGACACCCUUCUGAUGUUGUCUGCA
rnacentral:piRNA from 1 species